UACGUAGGGGGCGAGCGUUGUCCGGAUUUAUUGGGCGUAAAGAGCUCGUAGGCGGCUGUUCACGUCGAACGUGAAAACUCGGAGCUCAACUCCGAGCCUGCGUUCGAUACUGGCUGGCUAGAGUCUGGUAGGGGGAACUGGAAUUCCUGGUGUAGCGGUGGAAUGCGCAGAUAUCAGGAGGAACACCGGUGGCGAAGGCGGGGUCCUGGGCCAGUACUGACGCUGAGGAGCGAAAGCGUGGGGAGCAAACAGG
rnacentral:rRNA from 1 species